rnacentral:rRNA from 1 species
AACGAACGGUAGCGGCGUGGAUUAGGCAUGCAAGUCGAACGGGAUCCAGGCUUCGGUCUGGUGAGAGUGGCGAAAGGGUGAGUAACGCCUAGAUAACCUACCUUUGGCUCCGGGAUAACCGAGGGAAGCUUCGGCUAAUACCGGAUAGGGUCGGCGGAUCGCAUGAUCUGCCGAAUAAAGAGGCCUCUGAAUAUGCUAUUCGGCCAAAGACGGGUCUAGGUCCUAUCAGCUAGUUGGUGAGGUGACGGCUCACCAAGGCGACGACGGGUAGCCGGCCUGAGAGGGCGAUCGGCCACACUGGAACUGAGAUACUGUCCAGACUCCUACGGGAGGCUGCAGUCGAGAAUCUUCCGCAAUGGGGGCAACCCUGACGGAGCGACGCCGCGUGCGGGACGAAGGCCUUCGGGUUGUAAACCGCUGUCGUAGGUUAAGAAGUACCUUGUCGUGAAAGCGACUUGGU